CUGGGAUCUAGCACCAACACUGGUCCCAUCUGGAUUAGCAGCUGAGAGAAGUAGAAAGUAGACAACCAGAUAGGAAUUACAAGAAUCUUUUACCACAUACCCUCCCAAACUUUAACUUGUUAUUGCUCAGGAAAUUUCAAAGUCAGAGUGCAGAGUGUAUGAGGCACCGCAUGCCUGUGUGACUGUUGGUAUGGAAAAUGCCCUUGAGAAGAGUGAGAGCUGGUGCUAGAAGGAUGUUCUGUAAAUGUGGAAGAACCCAUGAUGGAGAGAGGACUCCAAGAUGGAGGAGAUUUCUCAUGGAGAUUUGUGUUGAACUUGUCCUGGUGAAGAUGAAAGAACCUGGUGUCAGAUUGGUCUGUACAGUUUUCACAGAUAAGAGUGCAAGAAGAGUAGGACCUUCGAAGCCAUAAAUCACAUGUAUUUGACAAUCUAUUGACGACUGUAAAAAAAAUCUCACUCCUGAGCUCAUGCCUGGGUCCUAGUCAUUCAGACUUAGAUCCUCCAGGUGCACAUCCCAUGGGAUGGAUAAUAAUCAUCCAUUAUAUGUAAACACCAGUUCUUUCUCGAGUGGACUUUUAUGAUGAACGAUCUAGAUGCUCUGUGUUUUGGCUCUGGGAAAAAAUCACUUCAGAAACCCAUCUCUACAGACAGCAUGAAAGAUACAGCAUCAGGUUUGCUUUCUUAUGUGCUCCUUCAGCCUUGUCCUUACAAGAUUUGUUUUUCAAAUAUCCACAUGCUUUUAUGCAGCAGCUCAGUUUCAUUCCAUAGAAACAAUACCUCAGCUGUGAGUUGCAGCAGUUAUAUACAAUGAUAUAACUUUUUUUUUUUUUUUUCCCCACAGAUUUUUUAUCUUUCUUACUUUUCCCUCCAGUCCCUUUUGUCCUACAGGUUCUUAUAGUACAAUUCCUACAGUCUUUUAAUUCCCCAAAUAAGUUAGCUUCCUUAUUCUAACACCAAAGGUUCUGGGAUUUUAAGUACAGAAAUAGAGCUUAAAGUCUGUGAAGGGGGAAAAAAAAAGCACAAAGACUUUAAAAUAAAUAAUUUUGGAAAGCAGAUGUUGCAGAGAGUGCAAAAUAAAAGCCGUACAAGUUUUAGAGUACAUUUUGUUCCCAGAAUUGCUGAACCGGACUGGAUCUCAGUAUACACUGUUUGCAGACGGCUUUUGUUCUGCCAUGGGAGCUAAUGGAAAUGAAACAGGCUUUUUGUUGAGAAAGUGUAUGAGACAUGGACUGGGGAAACUGUGCUCAUGAAGUAGAUGUCUUAAAUAUUGAAGAGAUAUGUGGGUGUUUGAGUAAGAAAUAGGUGCCAGCAAAGACGGUCCUACACAUUGUGCUAGGUCUCUCAUUACCUACCUACAUUAUCUUCUGGCUCUUCUCCUGUUCAGAGUUCAUGCCCAAGUAAUUGUGUGCAGCUGUAGCUGUCAUUCGGCUCUGGCCCAGGACAACAGAACAUUGUAGUGACUCUGGGCCAGACCAUGUUUGCUUGUUUGAGUCUUCUUCCCAUACUUCUAAUUUCAUAUAUUACCCACCCACUUGGCUAAAGACCAGUCUCAUGUGCCCAGCUGGCUAGCUUUGACUACUGACACCAAAACUGCUUCAACAGAAAAUAAAAAUGGACAUUGUAGAUCCCCAGCUAAAUAAGCAACUUUGCUCUAGGCUGUCAUGGACUCCCAGCUUAUACAUCCUGUCUACAUCAGCUCUGGUAACAGUAGAUUCUGUCUGUGGGAUCCUGUGCCUGGCUGAUUCCCCAGUGAGAAAGAAGGAGGGAAAAGCCUGUAACUGUUGGAUCUAGCAGGCUCUCUGCUGACUCCUCCAGUAAUUGGUCUAGUCCAUGGAGAACAAGGACUUCAAAAAAUCCAUGAUAAAUCAUGGGCACUACCAGACACAGAUGAUUCUACGGUUACUUUCGGUAUCCACUCUUCAUGAUGGCUAUAAGUCACCCAUGCAGGGGUAUGCAGGGUUAUAGAAAUAUACAGGGGUAUAGAAAUAUUUUACCAGCAGCAUAUGCCCUCCCUAUACAACACAGAAUGUUCCGAAAUGCUGAAUGUAUGGGAAGAAGAAAUUCACCUCCAUGGAGAAGCCUAUAAUCCCAAGAAACAUCUGGGUAUACUUUCUACCUAUCUCAAGCUGAAGUGCAGCUGUAUAAUCUUUUUGUGCAGGAGAAUUCAUUAUUAUUCUUGUUCAUGUGUGUGUCUAUCUAUUUAUCUAUAAUAUGGUCUACUGUG